CGUGUAGGUGGUUAGAUAAGUCAGAUGUGAAAGCUUCCGGCUUAACCGGAAAACUGCAUUUGAAACUGUUUAGCUUGAGUGCGAGAGAGGGUAGCGGAAUUCCCAGUGUAGCGGUGAAAUGCGUAGAUAUUGGGAAGAACACCAGUAGCGAAGGCGGCUACCUGGCUCGCAACUGACGCUAAUGCGCGAAAGCGUGGGGAGCAAACG
rnacentral:rRNA from 1 species